CCCUCCCCUCCCUCCCUCCCUCCCUUCCUGCCGGCCACACCCCCCGGCCGCCUGCCUGCCGCCCGCCGCGCCUGGCCCAGCACGGCUGGGAACCGCUGCUGCCUCGGCCGGCCGGUGUGAUCGCUGCGGUCGCGGUGGACGGGCCGGGUUGUUCAGCGGCGACUCCCGCCGUCCUGGUGCCGGGUGAGGAGCGAAGGGGGUCUCUGCGGAGCCCCUCCCACCCUUCCUCCCUCCCACCCACCGCCGGGGCCCCGAUCCGGCGGCAUGCGCGCCGCCCGGUCGUCGACAGGUGCCUUGGGGAGGGGGCUCCGGGCUGCCGCGGAGCAGCCAGGUCCGGGGACGGGGCGGGGGCUUCGCUGGCUGGGGGAGAGGUGAGGGGAGUACCUGGAUUCCCCUCCACCGACCUUCGGUGUCCGGCAUCCGUGUGUCCUGCCCCCUCCCGGUGGGACGCCGCCCCGGCGGAACCCGCAAACAGAACAGCAGAGCCCCACAGCCCCUGGAUGUAUUGGCUGGCCAUUUCCUUGGGAAGAAGGANGGAGAGCUGGAAGGGAGCCCUGGAAAGAAAUGCAUUUAUUAAUCCAUNAGCAAUGUGGAUCAUGUGAUCAGAGGCCAAAGGAAGAGUUACCAGCAUUUGAACAGUAUCUGCCUUGCAGCUGAGAAGCAAGCAGUGGAAACGACAGAUCAAUAUUAUAGAUAUCUUUUCCUACCUCGAGAUGUGGCUAUUUUCAGUGGAUCAACUGGCAAAAGAACANGAAUAAGUGACAUACUUCCAGUUUGCCCAAAAAGCGCCCACCUGUGUCACCUGAAACAAGUAUUUACUCGCCAUGGUGGCUUGGCUGAGCUCUGCUCACCACAGCUAACGAGUCAGCUUUCUACAAACAGUGCAGGAUGGCUGGUUGGAUGCAAUCCUGACCACCGUUCAUAACCAGCAGGAGAUUGGCUGUGGUUCCAGAGUACAGAAUCAGCUCCCAGCUCAGAGAGAAUGGUGGAAACAAAGUAUGCUCCCAUUUGCAAAGGACAACAUGCCCCAUCGCUUCCUAUGGACAGCUAGUUGCUUAUGGUCAAUNGCAAAGCUCAGGGAUCCAGAAUCAAGCAGAUCUGAAGGUGUCAGCCCUUUCUUGUUCUCUGCCCUACACCCUUCCCUCCAGAUGUCCUCCAGAUCGGAAGGCUGAAGAUGAGUCUUGUCACAGCUGGCACAGGCACCGUCCCUCUACUUGAGUGGAGCAAGCAGAUAAACACAUUGAUGUGGGCUUAGUUCACAAAAAAGCGCUGUGCAGGGGAAACGUGAUAAGCCUGCCUGCAUGCCUUGUUUUGGACUGACAAGUGGCUCUCGAUAAAUAAAUGCAAAGCCGAAUCUAGGCCCUGGAACCCU
rnacentral:lncRNA from 1 species